rnacentral:lncRNA from 1 species
AUAUAUAUAUAUAUAUAUAUAUAUAUAUAUAUAUAUAUAAUAUGAUAAAAUGAUUUUAUGUAUAUAAUACUUAAUAUAAAAUAAAAUAAUUAAAUAUUAAUAUAUAAAUGAUAAAACUUAAUAAAAUAAAAUAUAUAUCAAAUUUAAUUAAUUUAUAUUAUAUAAUAAAAUUUAAGUAUAAAUAUAUUAUCAUAAAAAUAAUAUUUAUAUUAAUAUAUUUAUUUAUUAAAUUUAAGCAUUCAUUUAAUUUAUUUGAAAUUAAUUAAAAUAAAGUAUAAAAAAUUAAAAGGCCAGAAAAAAGAAAAAAAGAAAAAAAAAAGCCCAAAUCUCUUGUUCCGGCUUGUUCUCCCUUUUAGGGAGAACAAUCUUACCGGAUUGUUCCCGGCUUAACGGGUUGUUCCGGAAACAACCGGGUUGUUCCGGGAACAACCCGGUUGUUCCAAAAUGCAUUGUGUUUGGAGGAAUAUCCCGUCUUGUUCUGGGAUAUCCCUCCAACCAAACGCAGCCUAUAUAAUCAUGACGUCCCUUAUUAUCCGACCAUUAAAAGUUCUCCUCCCUGAUUUCUUUUUUCUUUUUUUCUUUUUUUUCC